AUGGGCGGCGCCGGGGCGACCUGAUGUUCCCGGCGGCCCGUGCGUCGGCGGUGGUUGGGUGGUAAGAUGGCGGCUGUGAGUCUGCGGCUCGGCGAUUUGGUGUGGGGGAAACUCGGCCGGUAUCCUCCUUGGCCAGGAAAGAUUGUUAAUCCACCCAAAGACUUGAAGAAACCGCGUGGAAAGAAAUGCUUCUUUGUGAAGUUUUUUGGAACAGAAGAUCA